rnacentral:RNase_P_RNA from 1 species
UGGGCAGAGAUGCCGAGAGGAAAGUCCGGGCAGCACGAGCCACCAUGCUUCCUAACGGGAAGGGGCUGCGCCUGUAAAGGCGGGGCUACAGAGAGCGCCACAGAAAAGAUACCGCCUGAGAGGGUAAGGGUGAAAACGCGGGGUAAGAGCCCACGGCGUGUGCCGGUGACGGCCAUGAACGGCAAGCCUCAUGGGCUGAAAGACCAAAUAUACCGACAAGCCUUAGGGCAACGGGCAGGCUCGCCUGUAUUGUCGGGGGGUAGGUUGAUAGAGGCCGUCGGCGACGGCGGCAGUAGAUUGAUGAUAGAACACGACAGAACCCGGCUUAUAGGUCCU